rnacentral:lncRNA from 13 species
AUUUUAACAUUUUUCUUUUCAUUAUGCAAAAAGAAAUUAACUUUCCUAUCCUUAAUGAAUAGUUUCUGAGCAGAUUCUAACUGAAAGAGAAAAGAGUUAAUCUUUGCUGUAUUCCUUAGUGAUUAUGUGUGAUCUUAUGCUUCAGACUUUAAAAAUCAAACCAAAUUUUGCAUAUAGUAAUGAAAAUGUAAAAUGUAUAUGGUUUUGCCCAUUAUAUACAGUGCAGUAUAAGGGAGUGAGAAGUGAAAAAAGACCAAAUUUUGGAAUUCAAACAGAAAUGGUUUGAAUUUCACCUUUACGAUUUAUUAACAAGUUAGAUUACCUCUGUUUUAAUUUCUGCAUUAGUACAAUAGAUAAAGUGAUUAAUUUCGAGAAUUUAUUUGAUGGUUAAAUAACAUAAAGUUUUUUAAAUGGCUGAAAAAAUUAGUUAUUCUAUAAAUAUUAGGUCUUCUCCUCCUACCCUUCCUUUAAUUAAGCUUCAUUUCAUGGCAUUAUCACAAGUAGGGAUGUUUCUAUAUGAAUUUUACAGAAGGAUAAAAUGAAGCACAAUAAUCAAAGUCUCUUGGAACACCAUAGCCAGAAACAAUGACCAGCUUGUUUUAAAGAAUCCUGACUAUUUCUGAUUUGAAACCCAUCAGGAAUGUGUGAGACAACUGAUUUUCAAAGAGAUGGGUUUCACCAUGUUGGCCAAGCUGAUUUUGAACUCCUGACCUCAAGUGAUCCUGCCGCCUCAGCCUCCCAAAGUGCUAGGAUUACAGCCUACCACAAUGCUUGAUGUAUUUGAGGAACAGCAAGAAGGUCAAUGUGGACAGGGAAGAACAAGAAAGAAGAGUAUAAUGAGGGACAUGGAUGAAUCUGGAGAACAUCAUCCUCAGCAAACUGACACAAGAACAGAAAAUGAAACACCGCAUAUUCUCUGGGUGAUGAAAAAUGAGAACACAUGGACACAGAAAGGGGAGUACUAAACACUGGGGUCUAUUGGGGGGGAAAAGGGGAGGGCCAGUGGGAGGGGGAAGUGGGGAGGGAUAGCCUGGGGAGAAAUGCCAAAUGUGGGUGAAGGGGAGAAAGGAAGCAAAACACACUGCCAUGUGUGUACCUACGCAACU